CCUGAUCAAGGACACUUCGACAGACUCUCUGGAAGAGUCUGGGUUGUUUUUGGAGUGUCCUUAUAUAGCUCUACAGCUGCACACAGAGAUGGUAAAUUUUGACCUGAGGGUGGAAUAAGAGGAAAAGUUGGAGAGUACACAGGAAGAAGGGUCCUGAAGAACAUCUUAUUAACCCAAAUUUCAAGAAGGCAACGUACUCGUGCAGACACCAAACUCAGUAUCCUGCUAUUCCUGUGUCCACCGAACAGGAUGGGGUCCAUCAGCACAACACUCAACAUAUAGAGACUUUGUGGCCGAGACCAACAGACCCCUCCUCUCUACCAGAACAUGUUUAACUGCACAGCUGUGAGUCUCUUCAUAUCAGGAGCCCAAGGACAGUGGAGAGGAUGAUGGGAUGUCUACACAUUUAUU